UGGGGAAUAUUGCACAAUGGUGGGAACUCUGAUGCAGCGACGCCGCGUGAGUGAUGAAGGAAUUCGUUUCGUAAAACUCUGUUCUAUGGGAAGAAAAGGACUGUACCAUAGGAGAAAGCUCCGGCUAAAUACGUGCCAGCAGCCGCGGUAAUACGUAUGGAGCGAGCGUUGUCCGGAAUUAUUGGGCGUAAAGGGUGCGCAGGCGGCUUUACAAGUUGGAUGUGAAAUAUUGUGGCUCAACCACAAACGUGCAUCCAAAACUGCAAAGCUUGAGUUAAGGAGAGGUAAGUGGAAUUCCUGGGGUAGCGGUGGAAUGCGUAGAUAUCAGGAGGAAUACCGGUGGAGAAGGCGACUUACUGGACUUAAACCGACGCUCAGGCACGAAAGCGUGGGGAGCAAACAGG
rnacentral:rRNA from 1 species